ACAUUGACUCUGGUUCUUGGGAGCGAGCUCGGGGGGUCUGCCCCGCUGCACCUUGAGGAUCACCCAGGCUGCUCCUCAGCUCCUUCCCAGCUGGGACACUCCAGGCAGGGAGCUGGGGCCACCCUGCACAUCCAGGGGAGCCUCUCCAAGGCAAGGAGCAGGAAACUCUCCCAGGGAGAAAAGGAUCCCUGGAAAAAGCUGAAAUCUAAUCCUACCUUGGUUAACAUAACAGAGAGAACAGGAAGCGCUGUGAAGGAAUUUUUCAUUCCCUGGGACGUCUUUGAUCCCGCUCCCCUCCCUUUUCCUAUCAGAUCCCUUUCGGUGCCUUUCUCCAUAGGGAAUUCCUGGCUCUGUGCAAGGAGCUCAGACACCUUUCCCAGGAGAAAACUCCAGCAGGGCCUGAAAGGGAAAUGCCAGCAAGCUGGAGCAGGACCAUUCCCAUGGGGAUGCACAGGGGACAUCUCUGUGACUCAGCCCAAAAUGUCACCUGCCACUGAAUAUCUUGAGCCUUUUUCCUUCUUCUUUUGUAUUUGCUUGCAGGGAACACGGCAGGGGAUGGUCCCAGUACUGUGUGUGUUUCUCUUCACCAGCCAAAGAGAAAAAAGUCUUGCAGUUCUUCAUCUCUGCCUUGGAUUUGCUGCCACGGAUUGUCCGUGAAUCCUUUUGGGAAGGGGCAGACUGGCUGGUGAGCCCAGCUGGGAGCAGCAUCCUGCAUCCCUCACAGCUCUCCAGCAGCUUUACACCCAUCCCAAGCAUGGCAGGCAGCCUGGAUGGAGCCAAUCCUCCUCUGGAGGAGGAUCCUGAGGGCUGUCUCUUAAUUGCACUCCAUAAUCACUCCUCUAUUUCUGUCUUUCCAAAUCCUGCUGGCAGUGUCAAGGCCCAUUUUGGGCAUGGCAGUAAACAGCAGUUGUUUUUCCCUCUCAGUGUUGCUACCCCAGAGAAGAGGAGUGACAAGGGUGAGUCACCAUGGCAUUUGGCAAAACAUCCCGGGAAAAGUGUUUGUCUGGAAAGCUGAGGAGCCUUGACCCAGGAGAGGUGACAGGAUCCUUCAGAGCCUCUCGAAACCUGUAGGAAUGGAAUAUUCCAGGGCAAGUGGAGAGAGAUAAGGAGCAGAGAGCAGCUGACUCCCGAGCUGUGGAGUGCUCCACUCCUGCCUGGGAGAUAUUAGCAGCUGUAUCAGGUUGCACAUCUG
rnacentral:lncRNA from 1 species